GGAUAAGUAUGUUAUUUCUGAAUUUUGCCCAUCUAUAUAUUGGGACCUUGGCCCAUAACCUGUCCUAGUCUAAUUUUUGAACCUUUGGCUCGAGUUUCACUUUACCUGUAUUAAAUACAACUUUGGCUUCGAGGCCCAAAUGAGUGAAUAAAUAAAUAAAAUAAAUAACAACAACAAUAAAAAUGAAUAAAUAAAUAAAUGAAACUUUCAAGUCUCUUAGCCGCUUCGAGGAUGAGACUUUAACCCAUUUUCCUUCUUUUGACUCCUUGCAUCUGUAUUUAAUUUGACUUUAGGCUUUUUUCGGCUUGACUCAGAAAGUAGGCCUUAUUGUCCCAUUAUGAAUAUGCAAAAAGGGAAGAGUCCGUGUGGGACUCGAAUGAUGUCCAUGCAUAGAAAAAAUAAAUAAAGUAAACAUUAAUACAUAAUCGAUAGAGUAAAAGAAGUCAACCUAUGAUCAAACUAAAUAGGAAAACUAAAAUAGCUAAUACAUGAUCAACCAAGGAGGAACGAAAACGUAAAGAAAAUUUGUUCAUAUUAACUACAUAAGUAAAGAAACAAGGAUCCAAACAAAUAAUUGAAAAAAAAUGGAGAUAAUAAGACACACAUAUCAACUCAAAAAAUAGGCGCAAUCAAGGUAGGAGAAUUAAAGUAACUAACGUGGGAUCAACAUAAUGAAGGAAGAGGAUACAUGGAACCCAAUACCUAAUCAACUGAGAAAAUAACAUGACAUGGAUAUUUAAUAAUUAAAAAUCAAUUAGUGAAUAACGAGAUAUGCUCGUAAGGGCAAAACAAUAACAUGGAGGAGUGGCAGGUAUUCAAGUAGUAACGGAAAUAGAAAUUGAAUUAAUUUCUAGACUAAAAUUUAAGAAGACAUUAGCGGGGCUAGAGGGACAUUUUCUGGGACUCUGAGAGGCAACCUUUGAGAAAGAAUUCUCAGACUUUAUUUGUAAGAAAAAUUAAGUAGCAACAACUACUGAACGACCAAAGCUUUUCUUUUUGGACUUCAAAUGAUAUAAAGAUCAAUCGCGUCAUUGUGUUAGCGAAGUCAUUACUUCACAAAAAAAAAGAAGGGAAAAAAACCUUUCGGGAUGUAAAUCUCACCGUAAUGAACUCUUUUCGGUAUGUGAAGUUAUAGGGUUAUUAUUGCAUGAUAAUCGAACAAAACAAGCAAGGGCAGGAAAACACUUGAUGAUCCCGAAUGCUCCAAAGGGAAGAUUGGCAGUAGACCCUCGAAGAUGGAAGUAGACAACCGUGAUACUCUACUCCACAUUUCGACCUAGCUUUCGAGAGUAAAAUGGAUAUGACUUCAUCCCUCCUUUCUUGACCAAGAAAAUCAUCGGGAAUCUUUAAUCUUAACACAAAUUACAUACAUAGUGCAACAACAAAAUUGAAAUAUCCUUUUCGAACAAGCAUAGUUCAACAGGGCAAUAUCGCAUUUACCAUUCUAACAAAAACCCAAACUGGACAAAAAUCCAAAAGAAAAACGAAAAUCAAAUUUCAAUUUUUUGAUACCAAAAUAGGCGCAACUGACAAAUUAAAGAAAGGGGAGUGGCAGGGGAUAUUAUUCUCAUCCUCACCCUCUUUCUGAUAGACUCAAAUAAAAUGACCAUCGAGAGAUAGUCCUACUAGCGACAUUGCGACACCGUCUACAAAUGAUAACAUAUAAGAUAACGUCAAAAAACAUCUACGAUUAAGACCUCAUCAGGAUGGAAACCAUUAAGCAAGAAUCAAAACAUAGACCUUAACCAUGAAAAUAGUGACCCAACCCAAAAACAGCAACAAUGAAAAAAAUGACCUGAACUACAAACAGUGCACCAGAUGAGGACCUAGAUAAAAAAUUACUCGAUAUUGUCAAGAUUACAUGACCAACUAAAAAAUCGAGACAAUGAUGACAGAAAACCACAUAUUAUAAUAGGAAAUAACCCUAACAAAACAAAACUAAGUAUCCUUCUUCACUAAAGAGAAACCUAUGACCUAUAAAGCCUUUACAGCAAACAACCCAGCACACCACAUCACUAAAAGAAACCUACAACUUCAAAAGGUUAGGAUAUAGAAGAAAUAGUCGAAAGCUUAAAUGGAAUGUGAUAUUACCUAUUCAGGAGCAGCAAAAUAGAAUCUCAAACUUUUUGGAAUCGAUCGCCUCCAAAAUACGUUGUCCUCGAUUCAGAAAUUUCAAUUUCCUACCAAAUUUUGGAGAAAAAAAAAGAAGAAAAAUAGAAAAAAUUUGCAUAAAUUUCUACUAAAAGAAGACUGUAUCUGCUUUUCUUUUGCUCGAAGGCUCCCCUUUUUUGUAUUUGAGAUUUUCUCUCUUGUAAUUUUUGCUUCUCACCUCCAAAAAAUUCCCAACCCUGAAAAUUGCUCCACGUUGAGCUAUUUAUAGAAAGGUGUAUGGGUGUAAUUUAGGGAUUUCUAAAAUAGGAAAUUUUGAAAUUCAAAAGGAAGGCGCCCCUUUUUUGUAUUUGAGAUUUUCUCUCUUGUAAUUUUUGCUUCUCACCUCCAAAAAAUUCCCAACCCUGAAAAUUGCUCCACGUUGAGCUAUUUAUAGAAAGGUGUAUGGGUGUAAUUUAGGGAUUUCUAAAAUAGGAAAUUUUGAAAUUCAAAAGUCAAAUCCCUCCUCCGCUUCGGUUUACAUCCACGAUGUCUAUGAAUUUUUUUAAUUCUUUGGCAAAAAUUGAAAAUGUUUGACCAAUAAAAUUUGGGAAAAACAAAUUGUCCUAAAAAACCGAAUGAGAUUCAUUCAAAUAUGUACGAAAUCGUACCAUUUCAUCUGAGAAUCGCGAAUUCAAACCGUUGGGGAGACAACUCAUCAAAUUCUAGAAAUUUCUUGGCUUUUCUCGUAUGAAUUCGAGUGGGACGGGUGGAGAGGAUUAGAAUGGGUCAAUUGCGGGUUGUGCUGGGUCGGGUCACCGUUGAAGCCGGAGUAUUGCUUGUUGGAUUGUCUUCAUUGGUGUCUUAUCAGGUUGAAACCAUUGUGGGUAUUUCUGAUAAUGUUGUUUCUACUAACGGGUAAAAGGAGAAAAGAAG
rnacentral:lncRNA from 1 species